UACGGAGGAUGCGAGCGUUAUCCGGAUUUAUUGGGUUUAAAGGGUGCGCAGGCGGAUUUUUAAGUCAGCGGUCAAAUCGUGGGGCUCAACCCCAUCCAGCCGUUGAAACUGGGGAUCUAGAGUGUGCGAGAGGUAUGCGGAAUGCGUGGUGUAGCGGUGAAAUGCAUAGAUAUCACACAGAACACCGAUUGCGAAGGCAUCUCACGAAUCCGCGAUUGACGCUGAUGCACGAAAGCGUGGGUAUCAAACAGG
rnacentral:rRNA from 1 species